rnacentral:rRNA from 1 species
UGCAGUCGAGCGGACAGAAGGGAGCUUGCUCCCGGAUGUUAGCGGCGGACGGGUGAGUAACACGUGGGUAACCUGCCUGUAAGACUGGGAUAACUCCGGGAAACCGGAGCUAAUACCGGAUAGUUCCUUGAACCGCAUGGUUCAAGGAUGAAAGACGGUUUCGGCUGUCACUUACAGAUGGACCCGCGGCGCAUUAGCUAGUUGGUGGGGUAAUGGCUCACCAAGGCGACGAUGCGUAGCCGACCUGAGAGGGUGAUCGGCCACACUGGGACUGAGACACGGCCCAGACUCCUACGGGAGGCAGCAGUAGGGAAUCUUCCGCAAUGGACGAAAGUCUGACGGAGCAACGCCGCGUGAGUGAUGAAGGUUUUCGGAUCGUAAAGCUCUGUUGUUAGGGAAGAACAAGUGCGAGAGUAACUGCUCGCACCUUGACGGUACCUAACCAGAAAGCCACGGCUAACUACGUGCCAGCAGCCGCGGUAAUACGUAGGUGGCAAGCGUUGUCCGGAAUUAUUGGGCGUAAAGGGCUCGCAGGCGGUUUCUUAAGUCUGAUGUGAAAGCCCCCGGCUCAACCGGGGAGGGUCAUUGGAAACUGGGAAACUUGAGUGCAGAAGAGGAGAGUGGAAUUCCACGUGUAGCGGUGAAAUGCGUAGAGAUGUGGAGGAACACCAGUGGCGAAGGCGACUCUCUGGUCUGUAACUGACGCUGAGGAGCGAAAGCGUGGGGAGCGAACAGGAUUAGAUACCCUGGUAGUCCACGCCGUAAACGAUGAGUG